rnacentral:rRNA from 1 species
AGGUCUAAUACCCCGGGAUCGAUGAUCGGGACGCAGAAAGAAAUAAGCAGCUGGGCUAACUGACGUGCCUAGCAGCCGCGGUAAUAACGUAAGGGUGCGAGCAGUUAAUCGGAACUACUGUGCUGUAAAGCGUGCGCCCGGCGCUUUGAUAAGACGAGCGGUGAAAUCCCAGAAGCUCACUAGGGACACGGCACUUGUGACUGUCAUGCUACGAGUAUAUCAGAGGGGGGUAGAAUUCCAAGUGUAUCAGUGAAUGCGUAGAGCUGUGGAAGAAAAACCGAUGGUGAAGUAAGCACCCUGGGACGUGUCUGAAGGUCCUGCANGAAUGCGUGCCGAGCAAACAGGAUUAGAUACCUCUGUUAGUCCACGCCCUAAACGAUGUCAACUAGUUGUUGGGGAUUCAUUUCUUCAGUAAAGUAGAUAACGCGUGAAGUUGCCCGCCUGGGGAGUACGGUUGCAAGAUUAAAACUCAAAGGACUUGACGGGGCCCAGCACAAGCGGUCGAUGAUGUGGAUCUUCUGCUCAAUGAUUUUUUAAAUUGCUGUGGUGUACCAGAUUCCUAUGUCCUGUGGCCGCACAUACAUUGGCCAGACAGGCCGGCGCCUGUCUGGCCAAUAAUUUUUGGUGUUUCCGGCCUUUGGUUUUCUUGUCCAAAUUUUUUUAAAUUGCUGUGGUAUUUUGACUAUACAAAGGUAUUGAAAUAAGACUUUAAUUGAGUGCUAAGAGAAUGGAAUUUCAUAAAAUUUCUUUUUUAAUUUUAAAAAUUGAAAUUAAUUUUAUAUGUGAAGAAACAAUAAUAAAAAUUAAGGACAAGAAGACCCUAAGAAUUUUAAAGAUUUCAAUAAAAUUUUGUAUUUUAUUGAAAUCUUUUAAUUGGGGCGAUUAUUAAAUAUUAAAAACUUUAAUUUUUUUAAAAAAGAACCAAUAAUAUUGGUUAUUUGAAAAAAUACUCUAGGGAUAACAGCGUAAUAAUUUUUGAUAGUUCUUAUAGACAAAAUAGUUUGCGAACCUCGAUGUUGGGAUUAGGNAUUCUUUUUUAAUGAAGGAAGUAAAAAAAGGAAGUGU